UACGUAGGUGGCAAGCGUUGUCCGGAUUUACUGGGCGUAAAGAGCGCGCAGGCGGUCGUUCAAGUCGCGUGUGAAAGCCCCCGGCUCAACUGGGGAGGGUCAGCGCGAUACUGAUCGACUCGAAGGCAGGAGAGGGUAGUGGAAUUCCCGGUGUAGUGGUGAAAUGCGUAGAUAUCGGGAGGAACACCAGUGGCGAAGGCGACUACCUGCC
rnacentral:rRNA from 1 species